rnacentral:rRNA from 1 species
GACGAACGCUGGCGGCGUGCUUAACACAUGCAAGUCGAACGGAAAGGCCCUGCUUUUGUGGGGUUCUCGAGUGGCGAACGGGUGUGUAACACGUGAGUAUCCUGCCCUUGACUUUGGGAUAACUUCAGGAAACUGGGGCUAAUACCGGAUAGGAGCUCCUGCUGCAUGGUGGGGGUUGGAUAGUUUCGGCGGUUGGGGCUGGACUCGCUGGUUAUCCGCUUGUUUGUGGGGUAGUGGCUUACCAAGGCUUUGACGGGUAGCCGGCCUGAGAGGGUGACCGGCCACAAUGGGACUGAGAUAGGGACCAGACGCGUAAGGGAGGCAGCAGUGGGGAAUAUUACAGAAUGGGCGGAAGCAUGAUGCAGAAACGCCGCGUGCGGGAAGACGGCCUUCGGGUUGUAAACAGCUUUCGCAUGUGACGAAGAGUGAGUGACGGUAAUGGGUAAAGAAGCACCGGCUAACUACGUG